AGACAUUGGCGAUCCGAGGGUCUACUGAGUCGUUGUAGGAUCGGUACUGGGGCACAGACCGUGGUGGACGGGAGGAGGCGGCACCUUGAGGGGGAAGCAUGGUGGCUGCUGCAGGCAGCUGGUCUCGCAGUUGAGGCCAGUGAAGAAGGAGAACCGGGUAGCUGGCUCUGGAGUCAGGGUGAUGUCAUGGUCCAGAAACUGUCCCCACUGCAUGAACAUGAGUGAGCGCUCCUGGUCCUUGGUCAGCUGAUCGUUGGGGAAGCGCACGAUGGCGUUGGAGACCUGGCGAGCCUGCAGCAACAACAGGAGUCAUUGGAUGCCUAGGUCCUGCACAUAAGCCCGGGCUCACCUCCCUCAGUGGACACUCACCAGGGGCACCCUGAAGCCAUUGCGAUUGACUCGGGGCGUCCAGCCGAAGGGCAGGGAGACGCCAUCUUCAUACUCUGCAGGCAACCAGCGCGCAAAGGCGCGGUUGGAGGCCCCCAGAGUGGGGCUUCGUCUAGAGGGAAGCACAGAGCUCUGGCCCAAUGGGUCGCCACAGGCAAGACCUAGACCCCCUACACCACACAACCCUGAACUGCCCUGGGCCCGUACCUGUUGUUGCAGUGUCCAGUGAUGGUGCGAUACUUGUCAUUCGGUGGGCAUGUCACCCUCACAUCCUGAUAGGCGCAGCCACUUGACAAGGACAACAGAUUCAGCUGAGCAGGUGUCAACACAUCUGCGAGAGUGAGC
rnacentral:lncRNA from 1 species